rnacentral:rRNA from 1 species
GACGAACGCUGGCGGCGUGCCUAAUACAUGCAAGUCGAGCGAAGUUUUUCUGGUGCUUGCACUAGAAAAACUUAGCGGCGAACGGGUGAGUAACACGUAAAGAACCUGCCUCAUAGACUGGGACAACUAUUGGAAACGAUAGCUAAUACCGGAUAACAGUAUUUCUCGCAUGAGAGAUAUUUAAAAGUUGGUUAUGCUAACACUAUGAGAUGGCUUUGCGGUGCAUUAGCUAGUUGGUGGGGUAAAGGCCCACCAAGGCGACGAUGCAUAGCCGGCCUGAGAGGGUGAUCGGCCACACUGGGACUGAGACACGGCCCAGACUCCUACGGGAGGCAGCAGUAGGGAAUCUUCCGCAAUGGGCGAAAGCCUGACGGAGCAACGCCGCGUGAGUGAAGAAGGAUUUCGGUUCGUAAAGCUCUGUUGUUAGGGAAGAAUGGAUAUGUAGUAACUAUACAUGUAAGAGACGGUACCUAACCAGAAAGCCACGGCUAACUACGUG